rfam:Macaca mulatta chromosome 1, whole genome shotgun sequence.
GCUGGGCGCGGUGGCUCACGCCUGUAAUCCCAGCACUUUGGGAGGCCGAGGCGGGUGGAUCACCUGAGGUCAGGAUUUUGAGACCAGCCUGGCCAACAUGGUGAAACCCCGUCUCUA